CUGGAGGGCAGACAGCCGAGCCAGCCAGUGUUUCCCACAGCCCCAACUUCUCCCGGGUCCUCAGUCCUGCUGCCUCUGGGUGCACGGCGUCGAGCUAGGGUCUUCCAGACCCCGGCAGCUGAACCUCUGCAAUCUAACCCAGGAGGGUAUUUCUAGAGUUGUGCCAGCAGUUUCUGGUCUCGAUGCUUGAAUUCGUUUCCUUCCAUUUUUUCUCCUGGGUUGCAGAGGGUGGGCGAGAAGGUUUUGGCAAUGUGAAUGCUUGGAGAUGUUUUUCCCAAUGAAGACCUUAUUCCUCGGUCGGGCGUGGUGACGCAAGCCUGUAAUCCGAACACUCGAUGGGUGGGGAGGGUGAGACUGGAGGAUCAUAAACUAGUGCCCAGCCUGGGCAACCUAAAGAUUUAGCGCGACCUUGUAAUCAAUCAAGCAGUCAAUCAAUCAAAAGAAAAAACGACCCCGUCUCUUGUGCAACGCGUGUUUAUUUCGGCCUCGAUAAGUACUCAGCGGUUUUCUUUCCAGACUCGGUUACGCAAAAGGAAUCGGUGCCCGGGUACUAUUGGCAAAGCAGGCGCUGGUGAUGCGCAGUGGCGUGACCGCGUGUGAUCCAGCGCGCAGGGGUGGGACGCAGGGAGGCGGGCGUCUCGCCACCCUCUGUUUACGGUCUGCUGGGGACAGCGUGAGAAACGCGCCACCUGCUGGCCGAGCCGCGUCCAGCCCAGAGCUUGGGGCAGAGAAAACCCAGUGGUCUGAUCAGUUUAUUUUAAAUUCUCAGUGAAAUUGAGGAAUACAAAAAUAAAAGAGAAGCAUCUUCGUUUUUGAGCCAUGCAUUUACUAUAUAUUCUUGUCUUGUACUUAUUUUUAUGAUAUGAAUGAAUUUCUGAUAACUUCCUCUCAUCUCAUUUAUGCAGGCUGCUAAAGCGCAUCAGUCAGAACCAUUUUGGAGUUAAGAACAAGGAGGUGCUGCUCCUUCUGUUGCUAUCUUGCCCCCUGCCCUGCUCCGCCCUGAGACAUCCACCCCGCUGACCUACGUAGAGCUAGAUGGAUUUCCUCUGCAUCUAAGCCUUGAAUCUUCUAUGGUGACUUCUUCCUGAGACUUAGGCUCCUGGGGGUCCUGCUGAUGAUACUAUGCUUUCAUGCAAGGAGUGUCAAAAUUUGGUCUCAGAGCCCCCUGAGGGGAGAGGGAAUGCCAAAAGAUUGAGAAUCUGCAUGUACCAACUCCCCACAGGGCAUGUAAUCACUAUGUAUUGCAAAAAAGUACUAAUAAAAAUAAAGAUUGGAAAGAAUCUUAAUGCAAAAUCUCAGGACCCACCCUACUGGGGCAAGAAGCUAUUGGCCUGGGCCCAGCCCUGAGUGUUUUAAUAAGUCCUCGGUAUGCUUUAUUGUACAAAAUAACCGACUCAAAUAAAUGCAUGGUCAAACACUAUGAGACACAUUCCUGGGAUGGGCAGAAAUUCAGGUGUACCACAAAUUACAGUCUGGCCACCAUUCACCAAAACACUAAAAGAGCUGUUACACAUGUUUUUUUCCUGAAUCUUAGUCUUUUGUGAAGAUUCAACAAUGCCCCAAAAGCUAGGAAAUAUUUUAAAAUAAA